CCUACGGGAGGCAGCAGUGGGGAAUAUUGGGCAAUGGGCGCAAGCCUGACCCAGCAACGCCGCGUGAAGGAAGAAGGCCCUCGGGUUGUAAACUUCUUUUGUCAGGGACGAAGAAAGUGACGGUACCUGACGAAUAAGCCACGGCUAACUACGUGCCAGCAGCCGCGGUAAUACGUAGGUGGCAAGCGUUAUCCGGAUUUACUGGGUGUAAAGGGCGUGUAGGCGGGACUGCAAGUCAGAUGUGAAAUUCCAGGGCUCAACCCUGGAACUGCAUUUGAAACUGUAGUUCUUGAGUGAUGGAGAGGCAGGCGGAAUUCCGUGUGUAGCGGUGAAAUGCGUAGAUAUACGGAGGAACACCAGUGGCGAAGGCGGCCUGCUGGACAUUAACUGACGCUGAGGCGCGAAAGCGUGGGGAGCAAACAGGAUUAGAUACCCCAGUAGUC
rnacentral:rRNA from 1 species